AUUGAACGCUGGCGGCAUGCCUUACACAUGCAAGUCGAACGGCAGCACGGGUGCUUGCACCUGGUGGCGAGUGGCGAACGGGUGAGUAAUACAUCGGAACGUACCUUAUCGUGGGGGAUAACGCAGCGAAAGUUGCGCUAAUACCGCAUACGCCCUGAGGGGGAAAGCGAGGGACCCUAAGGCCUCGCGCGAUUAGAGCGGCCGAUGUCUGAUUAGCUUGGUGGUGAGGUAAAAGCUCACCAAGGCGAUGAUCAGUAACUGGUCUGAGAGGACGAUCAGCCGCACUGGGACUGAGAGCCGGCCCAGACUCCUACGGGAGGCAGCAGUGGGGAAUUUUGGACAAUGGGGGCAACCCUGAUCCAGCAAUGCAGCGUGAGUGAAGAAGGCCUUCGGGUUGUAAAGCUCUUUUGUCAGGGAAGAAACAGCAGCUCUAACACAGUCUGCGAAUGACGGUACCUGAAGAAUAAGCACCGGCUAACUACGUGCCAGCAGCCGCCGCGG
rnacentral:rRNA from 1 species